AUUAGGGUUCCGCGUGGUACUGAGGCAGCUCAACCAUCACACACGCUCUACCGCGUCCAAACCGCGUAGCCUCACCGCCCCGGCUUUAUAUAUCCACCAAGCAACCAUCGCCCCAACCGAAAAAACAAAUUUAAUUUUUUGUUUAAAAUUACCCUCUCUCUUUUUCGUCCAUCGUCUUCUUCUUCAGAAAUGCUCAAGAUGAUCACUGGUAAGAAGAACUCCAAAGUACCACCGUCUACCGUUUCCACGGACGACUCCGACGCUGUUUCUCUCUCAUCCGCCUCUUUCUCUCCCUCUUCAGCCUCUUCUUCUUCUUCCUCCUUCGCGGAACUCAACAAGCCUAAAGAGCAGAGCCCCCAAGAAGACGCCGACAUGGAGGAGCUGCAGAAGAUGUUCAACAAGUACGACGCCAACGGCGAUGGAAAGAUCUCCUACGACGAGCUCCGAGCAAUUCUAUGCGCGCUCGGCUCCGACAUGUCUCCGAACGAGCUCCAGCACGCAUUGUCCGAGAUGGACAAGGACGGCGACGGCUACGUCGAUCUCGCGGAGUUCGCCGAGUUCCACGGCGGCGGAACCUGCCGGAACAGGGAGCUCCGCGACGCCUUCAAGGUGUUCGAUCAGGACAAGAACGGCCUGAUAUCGGUGAAGGAGUUGCACGAGGUAAUGAAGAGACUCGGGGAGAAGGUCUCGUUGAGUGACUGCCGUCGGAUGAUCAGGAGCGUGGACUCGGACGGUGAUGGGAACGUUGACUUCGACGAAUUCAAGAAGAUGAUGUCCAGCCGUUGAUUUUCUCACCAGGGUUUUGGUGCGAAUGCCGCAGGAGCGAGUUUAGGGUCCCUGCAGGCGUUUCCAUAGGGAAUGAGUUCAUUAACGUUUCAAGGUGUUUGGAUCGUUGGCUAAGCAAAGGGAUAUUACUUAGAGAGGUGGGCUCUAGCCUAUGUAAGGAGUGACCGAACGAGGGGAUAUCAUUUGGAGAAGGCGGGCUCUAGCCUUAACCAAAGAGUGUUGUAAUCGAUAUUGUUCCACCCAUCAACGGAACUGAACUAGUGAAUUCUUUGGUGGUUUGCCAAAGGCGAGGACGUAGGCUGGGUAUAAGUCGAACCUCCUAAAAA